GGGUCAGUAGGUUGGUCGUGCCACCGGUACGUACUGGUCUCACUGAUUCCUCCUUCCUGAAGAACCGUAAUGCCAUUAAUUUGGUGUUGCGGGGAAACAGGACUGUUACUUUGAAAAAAUUAGAGUGUUUAAGGCAAGCUAACGCUUGAAUACAUUAGCAUGGAAUAAUGAAAUAGGACGAUCGAUCCUAUUUUGUUGGCUUCUAGGAUUGACGUA
rnacentral:rRNA from 1 species